CGUCACGCGUCCUUCUUCUCCAGGCUGCCCUCCAUCACGCGUCCUUCUUCUCCGGGCUGCCCUCCGUCACGCGUCCUUCUCCAGGCUGCCCUCCAUCACGCGUCCCUCUUCUCCAGGCUGCCCUCCAUCACGCGUCCUUCUUCUCCAGGCUGCCCUCCAUCACGCGUCCUUCUUCUCCAGGCUGCCCUCCAUCACGCGUCCUUCUUCUCCGGGCUGCCCUCCAUCUUGCACCCUUCUUCUCCAGGCUGCCCUCCAUCACGCGUCCUUCUUCUCCGGGCUGCCCUCCGUCACGCGUCCCUCUUCUCCGGGCUGCCCUCCG
rnacentral:lncRNA from 1 species